GCGGGCGUAGUUUAGCGGUAGAAUGUCUCCUUGCCAAGGAGAAGGUCAUGGGUUCAAAUCCCAUCGCCCGCU
rfam:Anaerolineaceae bacterium 4572_32.1 ex4572_32.1_scaffold_6121, whole genome shotgun sequence.